AUACGAGUAUGUACGGCCCAUUACACAUCGCGGUACAUGCAGUGAUGCCAAUUGUAAUUGACUGCAACACCAACAAAAACAACAACGACGGCGAUGACAAUAAUAAUAUUUUUAUUCCAUUCAAUUCAAUUAUCGAUCAAUUUCGCCAGAGCCUCGAAGACGCCGUUUGAAAGGUGUUGUCGGUUUCCAUUGAAAAUUUGCAAAAGAAUGUGGCAGCCAAUAAACAAUCAACGGAGCGCACACUUCAGCCGCACCGCCUCCACCAAUAAAAACAACAACAAACAAAUAAUGUACGGCAAUUACCAACAGCAGAAAUUAAUUUGCAACUGCAGGUUUGAACGCGAUCGCGCGUUACUUAAGUUCGAUAUUGUGUUAAUGUGUCGAGUUUGAGUUUGUGACUGAAAUGUGUUGAAACGAUCUCCAUUCGUUUUACUAGAAAUUUUCGGAUGUUCGAUGUUACUUUGCGUAUCAAACGUCAGCAGACAUGUUGGUGGUGAAGCAACGAACCAAUGGACGAUCAAGAAACCUAUAAGAAAAAUGUUCAUACUACUUUGUAAUGAAGACUUGGACAAUUUAUAAUGGAGCAAUACUCAACUGAACAAGAUGCUCAAAUGUACUAUACAAAUCAACGGUCCAUAGGAUAUGGGCUACGAAAAGCCCGAACGUACUUCAUCCACGACAAUUAUACCCAGUUAAGGUUACUAUUUGGUGUGGUGUUUCUUUAGAAAGGACCGUGAACGUGGUGUCGCCAUUUUAUCACUGGUGAUCGAUAUCGGUCCAUGUUGGACAAUUCUGUAAGGCCAGCCGUAGAAAAGGAUGGAGCGAAAGCGUACAUUGCGAGGGCCACAAAGGCUCGUAAAAAAGUAAUAUCGCGGAGAAACAAAUUUAACCGUUCAGCAUUCUCCAGAAUAAACCGCUCCAGACAGCUUCCUUUUGGGGCCUAGGAUAUUUCAGGAAUGAAAAACCAAUAUUCGAGACGAAGUUAUCAGAAGUUUUGCGAAAGGUCAUGGAAAAUGUGUUGAAAAGAGCACAUUUGUGCGAAGCAGAAAAUGGGCACCACUUGCGGGACAUCACUUUUAAUAACUAAUCUAAAAA